GAAACCAACAGGGAUUGCCUCAGUAACGGCGAGUGAAGCGGCAGAAGCUCAAAUUUGAAAUCCCCCCGGGGAAUUGUAAUUUGAAGAUUGUGUUUUGGAAACGACCGUGUCUAUGUUCCUUGGAACAGGACGUCACAGAGGGUGAGAAUCCCGUGUGGCACGGCCACCGUUUCCUUAUAAAACACUCUCGACGAGUCGAGUUGUUUGGGAAUGCAGCUCAAAGUGGGUGGUAAAUUCCAUCUAAAGCUAAAUACAGGCGAGAGACCGAUAGCGAACAAGUACAGUGAUGGAAAGAUGAAAAGCACUUUGAAAAGAGAGUGAAACAGUACGUGAAAUUGUUGAAAGGGAAGGGCAUGCCGUCAGAUUGUCAGUGUGGGUAAGAAGCGGGGUACAAAGACUGUGGAACGUGGCCCUCGGGUGUUAUAGCCACAGUUCAUCCCCCGUCUCUUUCCGAGGCCUGCUUUGAGGACACCGACGUAAUGACGGUACGCCGCCCGUCUUGAAACCAGGA
rnacentral:rRNA from 1 species